AGCAGCGUGGCGCAGUGGAAGCGUGCUGGGCCCAUAACCCAGAGGUCCCUCGAUCGAAACGAGGCGCUGCUA